CAGCCGCCGCGGUAAUACGUAGGGUGCAAGCGUUAAUCGGAAUUACUGGGCGUAAAGCGUGCGCAGGCGGUUAUAUAAGUCAGAUGUGAAAUCCCCGGGCUCAACCUGGGAACUGCAUUUUGAGACUGUAUGGCUAGAGUGUGUCAGAGGGGGGUAGAACUCCACGUGUAGCAGUGAAAUGCGUAGAUAUGUGGGGGAAUACCGAUGGCGAAGGCAGCCCCCUGGGAUAACACUGACGCUCAUGCACGAAAGCGUGGGGAGCAAACAGGAUUAGAUACCCCCGUAGUCCCUGUCUCUUAUA
rnacentral:rRNA from 1 species